rnacentral:rRNA from 1 species
AUGAACGCUGGCGGCGUGCCUAAUACAUGCAAGUCGAGCGAACAGACGAGGAGCUUGCUCCUCUGACGUUAGCGGCGGACGGGUGAGUAACACGUGGAUAACCUACCUAUAAGACUGGGAUAACUUCGGGAAACCGGAGCUAAUACCGGAUAAUAUAUUGAACCGCAUGGUUCAAUAGUGAAAGACGGUUUUGCUGUCACUUAUAGAUGGAUCCGCGCCGCAUUAGCUAGUUGGUAAGGUAACGGCUUACCAAGGCAACGAUACGUAGCCGACCUGAGAGGGUGAUCGGCCACACUGGAACUGAGACACGGUCCAGAUUCCUACGGGAGGCAGCAGUAGGGAAUCUUCCGCAAUGGGCGAAAGCCUGACGGAGCAACGCCGCGUGAGUGAUGAAGGUCUUCGGAUCUUAAAACUCUGUUAUUAGGGAAGAACAAAUGUGUAAGUAACUAUGCACGUCUUGACGGUACCUAAUCAGAAAGCCACGGCUAACUACGUG